GCUCCCAUAGUCUAGUCCGGUCAAGGACACUGGCCUUUCAAGCCGGUAACAGGGGUUCGAAUCCCCUUGGGAGCA
rnacentral:tRNA from 1 species